GACGAACGCUGGCGGCGUGCUUAACACAUGCAAGUCGAGCGGAGCGGCGAACGGGUGAGUAACGCGUGAGUAACAGCACCCCUCUAUGGGAUAAAAGUUGGAAACGGAUGCUAAUACCGGAAAGUGGGGGAUGACUCGCGUCCUAUCAGCUUGUUGGUGGGGUAGUGGCCUACCAAGGAGACGACGGGUAGCCGGCCUGAGAGGGCGACCGGCCACAUUGGUCUGAGAUACUGCCCAAACUCCUACGGGAGGCAGCAGUUGGGAAUAUUGCACAAUGGGGGAAACCCUGAUGCAGCAACGCGCGUGCGGGAUGACUGCCUUCGGGUUGUAAACCGCUUUCAGCCAUGACGCGGUAGUGGCAGAAGAAGCACCGGCUAACUACGUGCCAGCAGCCGCGGUAAUUC
rnacentral:rRNA from 1 species